rnacentral:misc_RNA from 1 species
GAUGAAGAACGUAGCGAAAUGCGAUAAGUAAUGUGAAUUGCAGAAUUCAGUGAAUCAUCGAAUCUUUGAACGCACCUUGCGCCCUUUGGCCAUUCCGAAGGGCAUGCCUGUUUGAGUAUCAUGAACACCUCAACUCUUUAUGGUUUUCCAUGAUGAGCUUGGACUCUGGGGGUUUUGCUGGCUCACAGUCGGCUCCUCUAAAAUGAAUCAGCUUACCAGUGUUUGGUGGGUAUCAUGGGUGUGAUAACUAUCUACGCUUGUGGUUUUUCCACCAGGUAACCUUCAGCAGUGGAGGUUCGCUGGGCUCAUAGAUGUCUCUCCUCAGUGAGGACAGCCCUUUGAAUGUUUGAUCUCAAAUCAGGUAGGACUACCCGCUGAACUUAAGCAUAUCAAUAAGCGGAGGA